rnacentral:rRNA from 1 species
UACGGAGGAUGCAAGCGUUAUCCGGAAUGAUUGGGCGUAAAGCGUCCGCAGGUGGCUGUGUAAGUCUGCUGUUAAAGAGUCUAGCUCAACUAGAUACAAGCAGUGGAAACUACACGGCUAGAGUACGGUCGGGGCAGAGGGAAUUCCUGGUGUAGCGGUGAAAUGCGUAGAGAUCAGGAAGAACACCGGUGGCGAAGGCGCUCUGCUAGGCCGCAACUGACACUGAGGGACGAAAGCUAGGGGAGCGAAUGGG